rnacentral:rRNA from 1 species
UACGUAGGGUGCAAGCGUUGUCCGGAAUUAUUGGGCGUAAAGAGCUCGUAGGCGGUUUGUCGCGUCUGCUGUGAAAACUCGGGGCUUAACCCUGAGCUUGCAGUGGGUACGGGCAGACUAGAGUGCGGUAGGGGAGACUGGAAUUCCUGGUGUAGCGGUGAAAUGCGCAGAUAUCAGGAGGAACACCGGUGGCGAAGGCGGGUCUCUGGGCCGUAACUGACGCUGAGGAGCGAAAGCGUGGGGAGCGAACAGG